UACGGAGGGGGCUAGCGUUGUUCGGAAUGACUGGGCGUAAAGCGCGCGUAGGCGGAUCAGCAAGUCAGGGGUGAAAUCCCGGGGCUCAACCCUGGAAUGGCCUUUGAGACUGUUGGUCUUGAGUUCGAGAGAGGUGAGUGGAAUUCCGAGUGUAGAGGUGAAAUUCGUAGAUAUUGGGAAGAACACCGGUGGCGAAGGCGGCUCACUGGUCCGAUACUGACGCUGAGGUGCGAAAGCGUGGGGAGCAAACAGG
rnacentral:rRNA from 1 species